rnacentral:rRNA from 1 species
AUUGAACGCUGGCGGCAGGCCUAACACAUGCAAGUCGAACGGUAACAGGGAGCUUGCUCCGCUGACGAGUGGCGAACGGGUGAGUAAUGCGUCGGAACGUGCCGAGUAGUGGGGGAUAACGCAUCGAAAGGUGUGCUAAUACCGCAUACGAACUGAGGUUGAAAGUGGGGGACCUUCGGGCCUCACGCUAUUCGAGCGGCCGACGUCUGAUUAGCUAGUUGGUGAGGUAAAGGCUCACCAAGGCGACGAUCAGUAGCGGGUCUGAGAGGAUGAUCCGCCACACUGGGACUGAGACACGGCCCAGACUCCUACGGGAGGCAGCAGUGGGGAAUUUUGGACAAUGGGCGCAAGCCUGAUCCAGCCAUGCCGCGUGUCUGAAGAAGGCCUUCGGGUUGUAAAGGACUUUUGUCCGGGAGCAAAUGCUGGUGGCUAACAUCCACCGGAGCUGAGAGUACCGGAAGAAUAAGCACCGGCUAACUACGUGCCAGCCGCCGCGGUAACAC